rnacentral:rRNA from 1 species
UACGGAGGAUGCAAGCGUUAUCCGGAAUGAUUGGGCGUAAAGCGUCCGCAGGUGGCUAUGUAAGUCUGCUGUUAAAGAGUGAGGCUCAACCUCAUAAAAGCAGUGGAAACUACAUGGCUAGAGUGCGUUCGGGGCAGAGGGAAUUCCUGGUGUAGCGGUGAAAUGCGUAGAUAUCGGGAGGAAUACCUAUGGCGAAAGCAGGCUACUGGACCGUCACUGACUCUGAUCUGCGAAAGCUAGGGGAGCAAACAGG